AUACUACCUCAUGACUUACCUCAUG
rnacentral:piRNA from 1 species